GACGAACCGUCCGAACGUUAUUCGGAAUCACUGGGCUUACAGAGUUCGUAGGCGGUCCGGAAAGUUAGAUGUGAAAUCCCUUGGCUUAACCAAGGAACUGCGUUUGAAACUACCGGACUCGAGGGAGAUAGAGGAAAGCGGAACUGAUGGUGGAGCGGUGAAAUGCGUUGAUAUCAUCAGGAACACCGGUGGCGAAGGCGGCUUUCUGGGUCUCUUCUGACGCUGAGGAACGAAAGCUAGGGGAGCGAACGGG
rnacentral:rRNA from 1 species